UACGUAGGGUGCAAGCGUUGUCCGGAAUUAUUGGGCGUAAAGAGCUCGUAGGCGGUCUGUCGCGUCUGGUGUGAAAAUCCAGGGCUUAACCCUGGACCUGCAUCGGGUACGGGCAGACUAGAGUGCGGUAGGGGAGAUCGGAAUUCCUGGUGUAGCGGUGAAAUGCGCAGAUAUCAGGAGGAACACCGGUGGCGAAGGCGGUUCUCUGGGCCUUACCUGACGCUGAGGAGCGAAAGCGUGGGGAGCAAACAGG
rnacentral:rRNA from 1 species